rnacentral:rRNA from 1 species
AUACGUAGGGUGCAAGCGUUGUCCGGAUUUAUUGGGUCUAAAGGGUGCGUAGGCGGUGAAUUAAGUCAGUGGUGAAAGACGAUCGCUCAACGAUUGCAGUGCCAUUGAUACUGGUUCACUUGAGUAAUCCAGAGGUGGCCGGAAUUGACCGUGUAGCGGUGAAAUGCAUAGAUAUGGUCAAGAACACCGAUUGCGAAGGCAGGUCACUGGACAUUUACUGACGCUGAGGCACGAAAGUGUGGGGAUCAAACAGGAUUAGAUACCCCAGUAGUCC